rnacentral:rRNA from 1 species
UAGGGAAUCUUCCGCAAUGGACGCAAGUCUGACGGAGCAACGCCGCGUGAGUGAAGAAGGAUUUCGGUUCGUAAAACUCUGUUGUUAGAGAAGAACAGCGCAUAGAGUAACUGUUAUGCGUGUGACGGUAUCUAACCAGAAAGCCACGGCUAACUACGUGCCAGCAGCCGCGGUAAUACGUAGGUGGCAAGCGUUGUCCGGAUUUAUUGGGCGUAAAGCGAGCGCAGGCGGUCAAUUAAGUCUGAUGUGAAAGCCCCCGGCUCAACCGGGGAGGGUCAUUGGAAACUGGUUGACUUGAGUGCAGAAGAGGAGAGUGGAAUUCCAUGUGUAGCGGUGAAAUGCGUAGAUAUGUGGAGGAACACCAGUGGCGAAGGCGACUCUCUGGUCUGUAACUGACGCUGAGGCUCGAAAGCGUGGGUAGCAAACAGG